UCCCGGCUGGAACAUUUCAGCCCGCCUGCCACGUCAGUUUGCCUCCACCAUCCUACCUCUCCCGUUCUUUCUUUCUCUGCCUUUUCGCACAAGGCAACCGACUUAAAAUGUACCGAUUCCAUUUUGGUGCCCGGCCACUCCGAGACCAAAGGACCGCAGCUCAUCUUUAGCAGUAGUUUGUAGUUGUCUUUUUAUGACGCAGAAGAAUGGAUAUGACUGAGGCCUUACGAAGAAGUUCGAGCGGCGAGAUGGCGACCUGCAGCUGCAAUGACCUCAGGGUCCUUCCCCCCAUCAGCCAUCAGAGUCCUAACCCCCCCGCCUGCCCAGUGUUCAGACUACCUGUUCAUCAGGCUACAGCUGAACAGUAGUCUGCACAUUGGUUAGGCUGGGCUGGGACACACACGCCUUCAACCACAGAGAUCGUCACUCUGGGAUAGUUUAUCUAAACAUGGUAUCGUAAUAUCUAUGCAUCCAUGUGGAGCUGAGUCAUCCCAGUUAGCCAUUUGUCUCACCUCGUCGUCUUUGUACCAGGAAAGGGACUCAGCGGUCAGGACAAACCAGUACUCCUUGGAGCCUCCUUUCAUGAUGCUGAUGUUGAUGGUUAGCCAGCCUUUCCUGAUCACCUGCACAGCGAGAAGAAGAAAGAGAAGGGUGGUAGGGAGAGUGGGGGCACCAGGAGGAUGGAGGAAAACAGCUUUAUCAAUCAGGUUUAUGCAUUGGUGACAUAAUACUGUGAUGUGACUAACACUAAUAAAAUCUUACCUCCUUACCUGCAAGGUCACAUAA